rnacentral:misc_RNA from 1 species
AUUCGAAUUGCACCGCCGUCGUCAUACAGAGAGGAUCUAGAAUCUUACGAUGGAGCGUUUCUGGCGUAGUUCAUAUUUCUUAUAAUCAAUUUUAAGACCUGCUUCGUAAUCAUCAUUUAUUCAGUACAUAUUCGUGCGUGCUUAACUCCUAAAUUGGGCGAAAUUUUGGACAUCGUCAUUGUAGCGCAAUCUACCCGCUGCUGUGCCACACGUUCGUAAAUCAGACUUCAAGCAGCCGGUACCAUUCUGAAGAGUUCGCCUGACUACAUCAUCAUCUCACUACAACUGAACCAGGAGAGUUAAUAGAUUAUGACGGGCUCUACAACCCUGCAACCGCUGCCCCUAAAAACUUGGGCCAGCCUCUUUAAAAACAAUACGGCUGGUCCUUCAAAGGAUAAUUUGUUGCCGACUGAAGAGUUUGAUUCCAGCUCGCACAAAGUUGGAGGUCUAACAGAAGCCAUUAAAGAACUAAUUAUGAAGUCGGUUCCUUAGGAUAUGAAAGAGGGGCAUUUCUAAGACUGUACUAUAUUCGUCCCAUCUGAAGAAAACGGCUUUAAGAGCCGUUCAGCUGUCUGUCCCGGUUGUAGUCACAAACAAAUGAUAGCUAUCGUUACUCAUAAUAGCGAAUACAUCCGCCAACAUAGGUAGAUAGACAGAUAGAUACUCUUUAUUGUACACAACAACAAUCAACACAAUAACAUAUUACAAAUAAAAAAAAACAGUGUACAAAGGCGGUCUUAUCGCUAGAGUAGCGAUCUCUUCCAGACAACCUUUGGGCAUAUAGGACACAGCGUAGUGAAAAACGGUAGGGAAGUGUACACAGAGAAGUGACAACAUACAGUAGAGCAACGUGGUCGAUUAUGCUUUAAUCCUUCUUUCUACAUAGAGAAAGAGGCAUACGUCCAGCAGUGGGAUGUUGCAGAAGGAAUGGUGAAAAAAAGUUGGUGUAAAGCCUUAAUAUACAUAUAUGUUACCGCGCCGUAGUGAUCGACGAAACUCUUUGAUAACUGCUUCGUCGCAUACUUGUCACAUCUUUCUUUUUUUGUUAUCGCAGGGGAACCCAUUUAUGGGUGAUAUCCAGGACGCCCGAGUAGGCAGUCCUAGACCGUAUGUCGGCUUCAACACUUGGGGGUGCACUACCAACCAAACCCCUGCGGGAGCCUUAGGGGAGAACAAUCCAUACUUGUCACAUUUAAAUUGUGACAAGAGACAGAGAAAAAACUUGUUUUAAUUGUGUAGAAGAACUUCAAACAACAUCCAAUGGAAACAUAAUUUUAAAUAAAAUUAUUUGUUAAUCAA